rnacentral:lncRNA from 1 species
AGAUAAUUAUUAAGUGUCGGUUGUAUUAUUUAUGAUGUAACAUAAAGUGUGUAACCCUCAAUAGUCUAGGGGCCUAUAAUGUAAAUAUGUAUGUUGUAUUGCAAUCAAACGAUUGCAACAAUAAUUGUAACCUGCUCUCUUGAGCCUAUAAAUAAGGCCUUUGCCCAUAUGAAAUAAACAAGUUAAGUUUGAGUGUUUAAGACUUGAGUUGAUCUCAAUUGUCUUCUCUGUUGAAAUAGUUGUUCUAUUUCUGAAUAGCAGAGCCCUAUCCAAAUUAUCCACAUAAUCAUCCAAUCAUUCAACAUAAUUUAUCAUCAAUAUAAUCCACCGCAUCAUUCAGGUAUAAUCUUCUCUUAAUCUUUAUUAAUUCCGUCAUGUCUUCAAAUUUGGUAUCAGAGCAAUUAAUCCGUCAUCAUGUUAUUUUAAAUUUGGUAUCAGAGCAAUUAAUCCAUCAUCAUGUUAUUUUAAAUUUGGAAUCACCAACACAGGAUCAUCUAAUUUUUGCACUCGCCGGUGUCUAUUUAGCAUCAUCACGCAUAGGCAACAGUAAAGAUCAAAAGUCAAGAAUCAGAGUGAAUUACGCUAGUAAAACUUUCAUCAUCUAUUCGUUAACAGACAGUGAAAUCACUCCGGAAGCAAUGAAAUCAAUUGAAACCUUCGAACAACCUUUCGAAAAGUUUUCUCAAUAAUUAGCUGAAUUACAUGCUGAUAUCAAAAAACAACUUUGUAAACAUAUUAUGCAUGCACCAAGACACCAUUGCAGUCACUGUUCAGAAAACACAGAAGAAACACCAUUCAUGGAAAAUUAACGGGAGGAAUAACGUAAGCAAUGACGUAAAAAGCCAUGAUUGAACACAUUAUUGAAGACACCUAAUGACGUAAGCAAUGACGUAAAAAGCCAUGAUUGAACACAUUAUUGAAGACACCUAAUGACGUAAGCAAUGACGUAAAAAGCCAUUAUUGAAGACACCUGUCUUUUCAAUGUGGAAGGGAUUAUUAUAUUUUUAAUUAUGUAAAGUGUCCGUAGGAUAAUUAUUAAGUAUCGGUUGUAUUAUUUGUGAUGUAACAUAAAGUGUGUGACCCUCAAUAGUCUAGGGGUCUAAAAUGUAAAUAUAUGUUUGUCGUAUUGCAAUCAAAUGAUUGCAACAAUAAUUGUAACCGGCUCUCUUGAGUCUAUAAAUAGGGCAUUUGCCCAUAUGAAAUAAACAAGUUAAGUUUGAGUGUUUAAGACUUGAGUUGAUCUCAAUUGUCUUCUCUGUUGAAAUAGUUGUUCUAUUUCUGAAUAGCAGAGCCCUAUCCAAAUUAUCCACAUAAUCAUUCAAUCAUUCAACAUAAUCUAUCAUCAAUAUAAUCCACCGCAUCAUUCAGGUAUAAUCUUCUCUUAAUCUUUAUUAAUUCUGCCAUGUCUUCAAAUUUGGUAUCAGAGCAAUUAAUCCGUCAUCAUGUUAUUUUAAAUUUGGUAUCAGAGUUAAGUAACGUUCUUACUAUUAUUUUGAAUAUUAAAUCUUUCAUUCAUAUGAAUAUAUGUUCAUCAUGCAUCAUCAUAUAUAUUCUUAUAAAUAUUCAUCGUUACAAACAUUCAUCGUUAUAAGUUAUAAACUCAUUAUUAAAAUCAAAUAUUAUUAUCCACCUACAAUUUAAACAUAUGUCGGUAGAAGUUUUUUUACAAUUAUGACUACGUACCAAGAAGUUAGAAAUACAUUUCAUAUGUCAAAAAAGUUUUUAAUUCUCUGACUGCAUCAUAAAUAUAAUAGUAUUAAAAACCCCACCAUCAAC